CCUACGGGUGGCAGCAGUGAGGAAUAUUGGUCAAUGGGCGCGAGCCUGAACCAGCCAAGUCGCGUGAGGGAAGAAGGCCCUAUGGAUUGUAAACCUCUUUUGUCGGGGAGCAAAAGACGCCACGCGUGGCGUUCCGAGAGUACCCGAAGAAAAAGCAUCGGCUAACUCCGUGCCAGCAGCCGCGGUAAUACGGAGGAUGCGAGCGUUAUCCGGAUUUAUUGGGUUUAAAGGGUGCGGAGGCGGAAGAGCAAGUCAGCGGUAAAAUUGAGGGGCUCAACCUCUUCGAGCCGUUGAAACUGUUGGUCUUGAGUGGGCGAGAAGUAUGCGGAAUGCGUGGUGUAGCGGUGAAAUGCAUAGAUAUCGCGCAGAACUCCGAUUGCGAAGGCAGCAUACCGGCGCUCAACUGACGCUGAUGCACGAAAGUGUGGGUAUCGAACAGGAUUAGAUACCCUUGUAGUC
rnacentral:rRNA from 1 species